GAUGGCGACACAAGACACAUCAGACAGAGGGUCACCUCCCCAGAUCUUGGUCUCAGCCACCAAGGACUGCAAGCUUGCAGGUGAGGACAGGCAGUGUGGAGGGUGUGGCAUUCAGGGAGAAAACACUAGUUAGCCUUUUUGCAGUUGGGGUAGUGUGAAUGUAUCCUGCAUAAUUCUAAUUUGGCUUCUAAACAACGUGAGCAGCAAUUUUAUUUUGAAUAAU
rnacentral:lncRNA from 10 species